rnacentral:pre_miRNA from 1 species
AAUUUCAGCUGAAAAAGUCAUGAACAUAAAAGUUGUAGAACUCAUCAAGACAUACAACUUUUAUUUUGGUCAUUUCUUCAUCCGACAAAGUGAUAGUAAUAUUGUUCACAAAAUUUACAUCUCUCUCUUAUAGUUUAUAAAACCAAAUGAGAGAUAUGUAAAUUUUAUAAACAAUGUUACUAUCACUUUAUCGGAUGAAGAAAUGACCAAAAUAAAAGUUAUACAUCUUGAUGAGUUAUACAACUUUGUUGUUGAUGAUUUUUUUCAAUUGAAAUC